rfam:Gorilla gorilla gorilla genomic chromosome, chr11, whole genome shotgun sequence
AUUAAUGGCCAUACCACCCUGAACACGCCCGAUCUCGUUUGAUCUUGGAAGCUAAGCAGGGUCGGGCCGGGAUAAUACUGGCGAGGCGCGGUGGCUCAUGCCUAUAAUCACAGCACUUUGGGAGGCCGAGGUGGGUGGAUC